rnacentral:rRNA from 1 species
ACGAACGCUGGCGGCGUGCUUAACACAUGCAAGUCGAACGGAAAGGCCCUGCUUUUGUGGGGUGCUCGAGUGGCGAACGGGUGAGUAACACGUGAGUAACCUGCCCUUGACUUUGGGAUAACUUCAGGAAACUGGGGCUAAUACCGGAUAGGAGCUCCUGCUGCAUGGUGGGGGUUGGAAAGUUUCGGCGGUUGGGGAUGGACUCGCGGCUUAUCAGCUUGUUGGUGGGGUAGUGGCUUACCAAGGCUUUGACGGGUAGCAGGCCUGAGAGGGUGACCGGCCACAUUGGGACUGAGAUACGGCCCAGACUCCUACGGGAGGCAGCAGUGGGGAAUAUUGCACAAGGGGCGGAAGCCUGAUGCAGCAACGCCGCGUGCGGGAUGACGGCCUUCGGGUUGUAAACCGCUUUCGCCUGUGACGAAGCGUGAGUGACGGUAAUGGGUAAAGAAGCACCGGCUAACUACGUG